rnacentral:rRNA from 1 species
UGCCAGCCGCCGCGGUAAUACGUAGGUGGCGAGCGUUAUCCGGAAUUACUGGGCGUAAAGGGCACGCAGGCGGCCAUUCAAGUCUGACGUGAAAGCUCCUGGCUUAACUGGGAGAGGUCGUUGGAAACUGAGUGGCUUGAGGCAAUGAGAGGGGUGCGGAAUUCCAGGUGUAGUGGUGGAAUGCGUAGAUAUCUGGAGGAACAUCAGUGGCGAAAGCGGCACCCCGGCAUUGACCUGACGCUCAUGUGCGAAAGCGUGGGGAGCGAACGGGAUUAGAUA